rnacentral:rRNA from 1 species
CCUACGUGGGGCAGCAGUGAGGAAUAUUGGUCAAUGGACGAGAGUCUGAACCAGCCACGUCGCGUGAGGGAUGACUGCCCUAUGGGUUGUAAACUUCUUUUAUAUGGGAAUAAAAUGUUCCACGUGUGGGAUUUUGUCUGUACCAUAUGAAUAAGGAUCGGCUAACUCCGUGCCAGCAGCCGCGGUAAUACGGAGGAUCCGAGCGUUAUCCGGAUUUAUUGGGUUUAAAGGGAGCGUAGGUGGAUUGUUAAGUCAGUUGUGAAAGUUUGCGGCUCAACCGUAAAAUUGCAGUUGAAACUGGAAGUCUUGAGUACAGUAGAGGUGGGCGGAAUUCGUGGUGUAGCGGUGAAAUGCUUAGAGAUAACGAAGAACUCCGAUUGCGAAGGCAGUUCACUGGACUGCAACUGACACUGAGGCGCGAAAGUGUGGGUAUCAAACAGGAUUAGAUACCCGAGUAGUC